rnacentral:rRNA from 1 species
ACUGAACGCUGGCGGUAGGCCUAACACAUGCAAGUCGAACGGCAGCACAGUAAGAGCUUGCUCUUACGGGUGGCGAGUGGCGGACGGGUGAGGAAUACAUCGGAAUCUACUUUUUCGUGGGGGAUAACGUAGGGAAACUUACGCUAAUACCGCAUACGACCUACGGGUGAAAGCAGGGGAUCUUCGGACCUUGCGCGAUUGAAUGAGCCGAUGUCGGAUUAGCUAGUUGGCGGGGUAAAGGCCCACCAAGGCGACGAUCCGUAGCUGGUCUGAGAGGAUGAUCAGCCACACUGGAACUGAGACACGGUCCAGACUCCUACGGGAGGCAGCAGUGGGGAAUAUUGGACAAUGGGCGCAAGCCUGAUCCAGCCAUACCGCGUGGGUGAAGAAGGCCUUCGGGUUGUAAAGCCCUUUUGUUGGGAAAGAAAAGCAGCAGGUUAAUACCCCGCUGUUCUGACGGUACCCAAAGAAUAAGCACCGGCUAACUUCGUG